AGCCAUAUCACAUUAAAACACCGGUUCUUGUGCAAUUACAGAAGUUAAGCAAAGUUGAGCCUGGUCAGUAUCUAGAUGGGUAACCACUUGGGAAGACUAGGUGCUGUAAG